UUUACGUUGCCAUCAGGUAAUGCUGGGGACGUCUAAAGGAACUGCCUACGCAAGUAGUGAGGAAGGCGGGGAGUGACGUCAAAUCAGCACGGCCCUUACGUCCAGGGCUACACACGUGCUACAAUGGCCGAUACAGAGGGCAGCUACCUGGUGACAGGAUGCAAAUCUCCAAAGUCGGUCUCAGUUCGGAUCGGAGUCUGCAACCCGACUCCGUGAAGUUGGAUUCGCUAGUAAUCGCGCAUCAGCCAUGGCGCGGUGAAUACGUUCCCGGGCCUU
rnacentral:rRNA from 1 species